rnacentral:rRNA from 1 species
GGGGGAUAUUGCGCAAUGGGGGAAACCCUGACGCAGCAACGCCGCGUGAAGGAAGAAGGUCUUCGGAUUGUAAACUUCUUUUGUCAGGGACGAAGAAAGUGACGGUACCUGACGAAUAAGCUCCGGCUAACUACGUGCCAGCAGCCGCGGUAAUACGUAGGGAGCGAGCGUUGUCCGGAUUUACUGGGUGUAAAGGGUGCGUAGGCGGCCGAGCAAGUCAGUUGUGAAAACUAUGGGCUUAACCCAUAACGUGCAAUUGAAACUGUCCGGCUUGAGUGAAGUAGAGGUAGGCGGAAUUCCCGGUGUAGCGGUGAAAUGCGUAGAGAUCGGGAGGAACACCAGUGGCGAAGGCGGCCUACUGGGCUUUAACUGACGCUGAGGCACGAAAGCAUGGGUAGCAAACAGGAUUAGAUACCCUGGUAGUCCAUGCCGUAAACGAUGAUUACUAGGUGUGGGGGGACUGACCCCUUCCGUGCCGCAGUUAACACAAUAAGUAAUCCACCUGGGGAGUACGGCCGCAAGGUUGAAACUCAAAGGAAUUGACGGGGGCCCGCACAAGCAGUGGAGUAUGUGGUUUAAUUCGAAGCAACGCGAAGAACCUUACCAGGUCUUGACAUCCUGAGAAUCCUUAAGAGAUUAGGGAGUGCCUUCGGGAACUCAGAGACAGGUGGUGCAUGGUUGUCGUCAGCUCGUGUCGUGAGAUGUUGGGUUAAGUCCCGCAACGAGCGCAACCCUUGCUAUUAGUUGCUACGCAAGAGCACUCUAAUAGGACUGCCGUUGACAAAACGGAGGAAGGUGGGGACGACGUCAAAUCAUCAUGCCCCUUAUGACCUGGGCUACACACGUACUACAAUGGCCAUUAACAGAGGGAAGCAAAACCGCGAGGCAGAGCAAACCCCUAAAAAUGGUCCCAGUUCGGAUUGUAGGCUGCAACCCGCCUACAUGAAGUUGGAAUUGCUAGUAAUCGCGGAUCAGCAUGCCGCGGUGAAUACGUUCCCG